rfam:Ictidomys tridecemlineatus contig001983, whole genome shotgun sequence.
GGGCAUAUAGCUAAGUGGUAGAGCUUGCCUAACAUGUUGCAAGGUCCUGAGUUCAACACUCAGUGUACUUU